rnacentral:pre_miRNA from 2 species
AGCUUCUUUACAGUGCUGCCUUGUUGCAACCAUGUCAAGCAGCAUUGUACAGGGCUAUGA